rnacentral:lncRNA from 1 species
UUGUUCCUACAAUAAAGUCCGUGGUUGUGAUGCUCACAGUGUAUGAGACCUAAUGUCCUACCAUGCUGUCCCCUAUUUCUAUUCAAGAGUCAUACCAAAUGCUAAGUUAUACUUUCUUCAAUAAAAUAAAAAGAAAAAGAUUUAAAUAACACUGCCCCCACGCCCCUCAAUUCUCUUGGUUUUCUGAAAUCAGAAUGAAUCAACAUAACCAAUAAGGAACCUGCUAGAAACUUGUAUCCCAGAGUCGAAGUAUCUGGAAAGACUAAUCCAUUUCUGAUUUUUUUUAAAGCUAUGAAGCCGCAGCCCUGUUUACAUUCCAGUGAAGUAGUUUAGUAAUUUAUAGCUAAUUUGUCAAUGGGCAUGCAGCUGUAGGCUGUGCAGUUUGAAAACAAAAAAAGAAUAUACCUCUCCCUUCAUGUUUACAUAGGCUCUGAAAGCCUGGUGUAGCGCAGGAUGAGAGCCCCCAGAGUCAUUAGGAAGGUCCACCAGCCUCUGAGGGUGGAGGGAUGUUUGCAUUAUAACCCAACACAUCAUUAAGGACACAAUUGUUAUUUAAUGUGGCACAAUCAUCUUUCUACCCUUCGUGAAAUGCACUUAAUUCUAUUUUGUGCCGAUUUCUCCUUCCUCAAAUCCCCUCUAUAUCCUCCCAGAAGGACCACAGCUACUGUUGGUGAGGAUGGCAGUACCCGGAGCCAAUGCAGACACCAUUCAUCCAUCUGCAGGCACCGCAGGGGCCAGCGGCCAGACCACCACUUCCCAGUCCCGGAGGCUGUGGCAUCUAUAAAUAACAUUGUAGCACUACAUAAGGUGAGAGAAACCAGUUCUCCACAGAGUGUGCAAUGAAGAAUUUUGAAUUAAAAGCGGUUUAAAUGGUAGUUUGGUUUCAAUAGUAAAAUUAAAAAGAAGAUCAAACAGAUGUUGCUCUGGUAGCUGGAUUCCUAAGGAAAUCAACUAUAGAUUUCAUAAAGUACUGAUUACUGGGCUACAUAAUCAGCCUGAUUUUGCCAGUAUCUAAAAGCCAUUAGGAAAGGCGAGAGGUAUCAAACACACUGUAUCCAGUGUGUGCUGCUGUCUCCCCUGAAAUCUCCACGCAGAUCAUUCUGUAUAACUUAAUUAGCGGAGUUAAAAUUAAGAUGAGACUCCAGUGUGUUUAGGCGAAACAAUUUCUGUGAGAGGACACUUCAUUAAAACAUUUAAUAAUGCAACAACUUCUGCUUAUCAAACAGCUUGCUGAAAGAAAAAAAUAUUUUUUGCCAAUUAAUAAAA